rnacentral:rRNA from 1 species
UACAGAGGGUGCGAGCGUUAAUCGGAGUUACUGGGCGUAAAGGGCGCGUAGGCGGUUUAAUAAGAUUGAUGUGAAAUCCCUGGGCUUAACCUAGGAACUGCAUCGAUGACUGUUAAGCUGGAGUACUGUAGAGGGUAGUAGAAUUUCCGGUGUAGCGGUGAAAUGCGUAGAGAUCGGAAGGAAUACCAGUGGCGAAGGCGGCUACCUGGACAGAUACUGACGCUGAGGCGCGAGAGCGUGGGGAGCAAACGGG